UGGGGAAUUUUGGACAAUGGGCGAAAGCCUGAUCCAGCAAUGCCGCGUGUGUGAGGAAGGCCUUCGGGUUGUAAAGCACUUUUGUCCGGAAAGAAAUCCUUGGCUCUAAUACAGUCGGGGGAUGACGGUACCGGAAGAAUAAGCACCGGCUAACUACGUGCCAGCAGCCGCGGUAAUACGUAGGGUGCAAGCGUUAAUCGGAAUUACUGGGCGUAAAGCGUGCGCAGGCGGUUUGCUAAGACCGAUGUGAAAUCCCCGGGCUCAACCUGGGAACUGCAUUGGUGACUGGCAGGCUAGAGUAUGGCAGAGGGGGGUAGAAUUCCACGUGUAGCAGUGAAAUGCGUAGAGAUGUGGAGGAAUACCGAUGGCGAAGGCAGCCCCCUGGGCCAAUACUGACGCUCAUGCACGAAAGCGUGGGGAGCAAACAGGAUUAGAUACCCUGGUAGUCCACGCCCUAAACGAUGUCAACUAGUUGUUGGGGAUUCAUUUCCUAGUAACGUAGCUAACGCGUGAAGUUGACCGCCUGGGGAGUACGGUCGCAAGAUUAAAACUCAAAUGAAUUGACGGGGUCAUAGCUGUUUCCU
rnacentral:rRNA from 1 species